CAUCAGAUGACUGAAAGCAAGUAAUGGUCUCUUAAACCAUUUUAUAGUAAAAUCGCACUUACUUCUGGUGAA
rnacentral:tRNA from 1 species